rnacentral:rRNA from 1 species
UACGUAGGGUCCGAGCGUUGUCCGGAAUUAUUGGGCGUAAAGAGCUCGUAGGCGGUUUGUCGCGUCGGCCGUGAAAUCUCCACGCUUAACGUGGAGCGUGCGGUCGAUACGGGCAGACUUGAGUUCGGUAGGGGAGACUGGAAUUCCUGGUGUAGCGGUGAAAUGCGCAGAUAUCAGGAGGAACACCAGUGGCGAAGGCGGUGCUCUGGGCCGGAACUGACGCUGAGGAGCGAAAGCGUGGGGAGCAAACAGG